UACGGGGGGAGCAAGCGUUGUUCGGAUUUACUGGGCGUAAAGGGCGCGUAGGCGGCGCAACAAGUCACUUGUGAAAUCUCCGGGCUUAACCCGGAGCGGCCAAGUGAUACUGUCGUGCUAGAGUGCGGGAAGGGGCUACUGGAAUUCUCGGUGUAGCGGUGAAAUGCGUAGAUAUCGAGAGGAACAGCCUGCGGCGAAGGCGGGUCUCUGGGCCGAUACUGACGCUGAGGAGCGAAAGCGUGGGGAGCGAACAGG
rnacentral:rRNA from 1 species